GACGAACGCUGGCGGCGUGCUUAACACAUGCAAGUCGAACGGAAAAGCCCUGCUUUUGUGGGGUGCUCGAGUGGCGAACGGGUGAGUAACACGGGAGUAACCUGCCCUUGACUUUGGGAUAACUUCAGGAAACUGGGGCUAAUACCGGAUAGGAGCUCCUGCUGCAUGGUGGGGGUUGGAAAGUUUCGGCGGUUGGGGAUGGACUCGCGGCUUAUUAGCUUGUUGGUGGGGGAGUGGCCUACCAAGGCAUAGGCGGGUAGUCGGCCUGGGAGGGUGACCGGCGUCAUGGGGACUGAGAUACGGCGCAGACUCCUACGGGAGGCAGCAGUGGGGAAUAUUGCACAAUGGGCGGAAGCCUGAUGCGGCAGCGCCGCGUGCGGGAUGACGGCCUUCGUGUUGUAAACCGCUUUCGCCUGUGACGAAGCGUGAGUGACGGUAAUGGGUAAAGAAGCACCGGCUAACUACGUG
rnacentral:rRNA from 1 species